AAAAGCCAACAAAACCACUGCAACCGAAAUAUUACACACUUCUUUGUUCAGAACACGAUUUGCAUAGUAACCAUUUUUAAGACAUCAGAACAACUCUGCAAGGUUGCAGUGCACUCAGGAGUCAGGAAGAAGUGCGCCAUUUGAAAGGAGACGGCAGCAAGCAGGUUCACUUCUCUGUUGUGUGGGAGAUAGGUCUAACCACUAUUGGGGGCUGUGAAGAGGAAGCAACAGGUUUGCGAGUUGUUUGAUGCAGGAAUUGGAAUAUAAGCUACCUGAAACUCCUACCUGGAGCAGUCAGGCAUCUUCAGGCUCAAACAUUUCUCCAUUACAUUGAACGAAACUUUCAUUGUCAAGAGCAGAACAAUUGCUCAUGGCAAUUGCAAACAACUCUGAGGUGGAGGACCUCUCAGAUGGGGAAGAUAAUGAUCCUGCUGUGGACGAAGUCAUUUUACAAGAUGUUGACCUCAUGGAUGAGCAUCCUGAUUUUUCGCCACCCGAUUCAUCAGGAGAUGUUUCCGGUGAAGAGUACACACCACCUGAUGCAGCUGAAGAUACUGACUCUGAGAAUGAAAGUCAGCCAAAUCAUCCACAAGUGCACAGACGUGGACGUAAACAACAGCAUAUUGAGAAUGAUGAGCUGGAUGAGGAAGAUCAGAGACAUGGAGAGCCCAGACCAGAACCAAGGAAUGCUGGACGUGGAGAACGCUGGAGGUCUGCUCCAUUUAGACCAAAUUUGGUCCAGUUUCAGGAUGGAGAUGAUGGACUGAAAGAUGAGCGAACAGGUUGGCAGCCACUGGAUUAUGUGGAGCAGUACAUUGACUCAGACCUGAUGAAACUCAUUGCUGACUGCACAAAUGCCAUGUCACUGGGUAACAGUGAGAGAUCUCUCUCAACUUCGGUAGAUGAGAUUUAUCACUUUUUUGGAGCAGCAAUCUUGAUGUCUUGCGUGCCUUAUCCACAGAUAAGGAUGUUUUGGUCCAAUGCCCUACAAAUCCCAGCCAUUAGUAACACAAUGUCACGUGAUCGCUUCUUCAAACCAUCUGAAAGUAGUUAUUGA
ensembl:lncRNA